GAUGAACGCUGGCGGCGUGCCUAAUACAUGCAAGUCGAGCGAACGGACCAGAAGCUUGGUCCUCUGAUGUUAGCGGCGGACGGGUGAGUCACACGUGGAUAACCUACCUAUAAGACUGGGAUACCUUCGGGAAACCGGAGCUACUAGCGGAUAAUAUUUCGAACCUCAUGGUUCACACGUGAAAGACGCCCUUGCUGUCACUUAUAGACGCAUCCGCGCUGCAUUAGCUAGUUGGUAUGGUAACGGCUUACCAAGCCUACGAUGGAUAGCCGACCCGAGAGGGUGGUCGACCAGAUGGGAACUGAGGAUGGGCAGAGACUCUGGCGGGAGGCAGCAGCAGGGAAUCUUACGCGAUGGGGGAAAGCCUGACGGAGCGACACCGCGUGAGUGAUGAAGGUGUUCGGAUCGGAGAACGCUGUUAGUAGUAGAGAACAUAUGUGUUAUUAACUGUGCCCAUCUUGACGGUACCUAAUGAAGAAGCCACGGCUAACUUCGUG
rnacentral:rRNA from 1 species